rnacentral:rRNA from 1 species
UACAGAGGGUGCGAGCGUUAAUCGGAAUUACUGGGCGUAAAGGGCGCGUAGGCGGAUGAAUGGGUGUGAUGUGAAAGCCCCGGGCUUAACCUGGGAAGUGCAUCGCAAACUAUUGAUCUGGAGUAGAAGAGAGGGUGGCGGAAUUUCCGGUGUAGCGGUGAAAUGCGUAGAGAUCGGAAGGAACGUCAAUGGCGAAGGCAGCCACCUGGCUUCAUACUGACGCUGAGGCGCGAAAGCGUGGGGAGCGAACAGG